UAUAAUGGAAUAAUAUAAUAUAAUAGAAAAGUACGAUGUGCUUUCUCUUCCUUCGUUCCUGAUUAAUUAUGAUAUAACUGUACAUGAUGUUUCGUUCAGAACUAUCCCUGUUAAUCUAGCGUAUUCAUCAUCGUUUCCUGUAAUUAAAAAAUUUCCCAGAACCGCGUUUACUUUCUAUCGGACGUAUGUGAACGCUCGCAAGAAAAGUUUCCAUUUUCAGUGCGCGUAACGCGGAUCGACACACUUCUCCUUAAAAGGUACGAAAUUAAAUUGAAACCUUCGUUCGCGUACGGAGCAUGUUGACUCUCAGAGGCGACAUCGAAGGCAGUCGAGACGUACGCGGGUGUUGAACGACAAGUUCGGUUAAAGUACUUAGCCGACACAAGUAGGUGCAGAUAAGCAUUUAACAAAGUUUAUCGUUGGCUAAACUUCCCUCGUCUAUGGACGAACAAGUGCACUUUUAAGACAUUUCCUCGCUUACGAAAGGUUUCCUCGGAUUCGAGACGUGCAAACGCACUCAAGAAGCUACGCGCACUGCGUACACGCUGAGAGAGCCUCAAAUGUCUUAAAGAUGUUAAUUACAUAACAAAGCGUUAAUUACAUAGCUCUUCAUUUGCAAUUACGUAUAUGUAUUUUAUGAUCCCAGAAAUGUUAUUUUCCAAAUUAUUCUAUUUUCAAUCCUAAAAGAUGGAUGAGAUAAUCCAGCGGAACUUUUGUGUGACUUUGCAGAUGGAAAUAUUGAAAGACACGUUAUAUUCAACGAUUGUUCAAUCGCUUAGUUACCGUAUAAUUUAAUUGCUUAGAAGAGAAUAAAGAGAGAAAGGAAGUGCAGAGCUGAGAGCAUUAAAGCCAAGUCAACUCUUGAUGUUUUCCUUUCAACUACCCUUUGCAAUUUAAUAAUAGCUCUCCGGAGUCAGAUACAUUUUGUUCUCCAUCGCGAUUGACGCAUCCGGAGCUGUGGCUUCCCGGAUAGACUUCAACAUGAAUGUCUCGGCGAAUUCAGUUGCGGUUUUCUUGACGGUCCAGACUGGAGAACUCGGUUGCGGACAGCGGGCUGCACGCAAGUGCGCUCGCUUCACUCUCUGUCUGGGAAGGGACGCUUUAAGGGCUUCCGGGACCCCUUAGGGAGUGUGAAAGGAGUCGCUAAACAUAGAACACGGACCACUACAUCAUCAUGAGAGAGAGAGAUAGUGGCGCUCAAGCACGCUAUCUGACUCCCGCGGCAAUUUAUAAUAGCCUCUUAUUCCGGAGUUUAAAAACAACGCACUGCACCGGUGUAUAAUUAUUUAUAGGCAUAUUUAAGAAUAUGCUUCCGUCAUGCAACGUUGGACACCGGGAUGAUCAUGAAGAGCCUCGCGAGGACCACACCUCCGCGAAAAAGCCACGGAACACAGCAGGAUCGCGAAACGUGUUCCAUUCCAGUGAAACGGACGUCACAAACGACCACCGCACGCAUACCAGCUGAAACGAGGAAGGGCGGGGAAUAAUUUAACGGAUAACUCGACCUGGGUCGUUAACCGGGUAACAGCGCGAUCGCCACACGCCCGCAGGCCGCGACAAAGUUCAGAAUUUACGUCGCGGCCGACCCCGUUGUGUUCUCGAUGUCGUGGUCGUGAUCGUGGAAAAGCCGCCUCUUCUGCCGGAAUAUCGACGCGGCGAAGCAGAAUACACACUUCCGGCACGAGACAAUGGCAGGGAGAUCUCUCAGCGUUCUCCGUUUUAUUCGACGAUACUACGUAAGAAUGCGCCGGCUUUCCUCCCAUCCCAGCCGCAGCCCUUCGUCGGGCGGCUUUUGACGCGAGGCACGGAAACGUGCACUACGCUCGCAAUGAACGUAAUGGCUAUGCGCCUGCUGCAAUUUCUGGCGGUGCAUCAAGCUAACUAUAGCCACGCCAAACGGACCGCCGUAGUCGUAGAAUGCGUUCGACCGCGCCGGUUUCGUCCGCGCGAAACAAAAGCGAGAAUUGGCACUCGUGAUCGUCUACCUGGUGGAAGUUCCACGCGGGAGACGCAGGAAGACGCAGGAAGACGCGGGAAGACGCGGGUAUGAGUGCCCGUCUAUUCGAGGGGAGCCCGUAAAGGUCGACGAACGCGGGCGCGAGCUUUUAAAUAAAUUACGAGCACGCGCGGCUGACCGGCCGGCUUGAUUCGAGACUUGCACGUGAAUUGACACGCUUCGAUUCCCCGAUAAUAAUUUCGGAGUCCCGCUGCCACGGCCCGUCCUGCCGCAGCACCGGAUGAUAGCGCAACGGCGAGUGCAACGACCCGCUGCACGGGGAUCAACGGACCUCGUGCAGGUAUCACACUUUUUCCCUUUCACGAGGUAUCCUCGCGGAACGGUCCCGACGAGCGCCACAAAAGCGCGCGGUUGAAAAACCGCGACCGCAUCUAAAAGCUGACGUCGGCAUAUAAAUAGAUCAUUAAUGCACCCGAGAUGCAACCAUCUAAACGACGGAUUACGAAAAAAAAGACGAAAGGGAGAACAGCGACCUCCCUUUAAAAUUAAAAUCUCUCGACUGAGAAAAAGAAGAUUAAUCGAAGUUACGAUGACUUUACGGAGAAAAAGGUAUCACGUGAUUCAUUGAAAGGUUAAUACUGCAGGAAAUUAACGGUAUAAUGAAAACAACGAAGGCUGUUGAGGAAGUGUGCCCAUCAAGACGCGGUCAAAGGCAAGAAGUAUAAAGGCAGCAACGACAGUGCAUUCGCGCAAAGAACAGCAAUUAGAGCUGCGACAAUGACAAAACGAGGCCGAGUUCGUUGACUGGCUAAAGAUGCUGGCUUAGGUUUGCUAGAGCAAGGAUAAUAAGAAUCAAAAGAAGAGAAGCAGCUUACGGUGGAGGGCAGAGGAAGACGAGAAGAAGAAGAAGAAGAACGCGGUGUAAGUCUCGGAGCGUAACCGAACAACGUGCGUCCGUGUUUUCCGAUCAAUGAAGUAACACGCCGGAGAAAUGUCAGCUCGAUCGGUACCGUUAUAAUGGAAAAUGCCGGACGACGAGUGCGGGGAGGUGAAGAGAAUAAUAACGAGAAUGCUGGACGUGAUUACAUAUUCCGGAGUAAUAAAUUCAGAUUUCAAAUGCAAGCUGCGUGUCUUACAUUGGAGUAUUCGUGAUAAACAUGGGAAAUAAUUUACGUUAUUUAUAUAACAGGCUCAACCUUCGGUCGCGCGUAAAAGUUUAUCGUGCAUGAAUAAAUCUUUAUUGCAUGCCGUAUACUUGUAUAAUAAAUUAUUGUAUGCCGUAUACUUGUACAAAUAAAGCUUCAUCCGCGUGCCAAUUCCAAUCUUUUACAAUUUUUAUUCGCGCACCAUGUGAACAAUCGCGUUUAAUCGUCGAGAGAACUUCAGCUCUGGAGUGCGCUCGAGCUUAGUGGUCGCGCAAUGGAAGCUGUUCUCCAAUUUCGGCAAAAAAUUACUGACAGUGCCAAAUUUCCGGAUAACUCGAUGCUGCGCGUGACACAAACGAGCAACACACAUACGCGCAAUAUUAAAUAUCAGAUAAUUUUUUCUGCUCAUUAUGUUCACGUAACAAGCAAUAAAGAAUUUACUCAGCAAUUUAUUAUUUUUUACGUGGCAAUGAACAAAUGAGAAGGAAGUCACGUGAUAUUAACGCUCUUGUAUCACGUUAUGCCAUCGUUCGCACAUGCUUCGGAGAUCUGGAUGUCAGACAUUGAACUGGUACACGUGCUUGCCGGUGCUGCCGAGCGAUUAUGCAAUUAGGGAUAAUAAUGACAGAGCAGCAAUAUAAUAAUCUCGGCUAAACGUAGGCUUAGCUGGCCGUGCGCUGCAUUAAAAAUAGCGAUUUCCCUGAAUCGGCUGCAAUCUUGCCGAUUGACGUGCGAAAUCGCUGAUUGAUGGCUACUGCACGAAGCGCAUUAAACGUGAUACGCGAUGAUCGAAUUAUUAAGUCUGUUAAAUGAGAUAUUCAAAUGAGAGAUUUAAAUCCAGAUUACAUCGAAUUUAUUAAAAUCUGUGACGUAAUAGUAAACUGCAAAGAUAUCUGGCGGAGAUAGAAAUUUCAUUCAUUCUUGUUAAUCACACAACGUUACAACUAACUAAAACCCAGACUUUGUGAGAAGCAAAUUUUUUGCGUGAUUGUUUGAACACGCAAUGCGUUGUGAAAGGUUAAUACCGUGAGGUCACGAGAGGAAUAUUUAAUUACACGGACACGACGGUCGUCACCGAGUAUUAGUUACGAAGAAUAUAAUGAGCACGCUUUCUCUCAAAAGACUUUGAUGCGUAAUAAGGACAUCCCCGAGAACCGCUCUGGAUAUUAAUGUCUCGAGUCAAUGCCGAUGAUUAAUGAUAAGUUACAUCGGAUAUUGGUCAAAAGAGAACAAGAAUAUCCUGACCGGGUCAGCAACUCAAUCCGCGUUGAUCGUUAAGCAACUUUGCGAGGAAGAACGUGGUUUCUACGAUGGCUCGUUUCUUGUCUUCACGUAUAUUCACAUUUUCAAUAGCGAAUUUAAAUACAGCGUUACGAAACGGAUACGACGAACAAUUACUCUCGCGCGGUCACGAAUAUUCUUUUACGAGAAAAAGAGAGGAAAACGCCGUUGAGUGGUCACGGUUGCUCGUAAAAAAAGCGUUCUCCAUUAGCGCGCGUUUUAGUGCCGGAGAUUCUACCGCCAUUCGGGAUAACGAUCGCGCCUCGAAAGCAUAAAAUCGAUCUUUGUCGGAAAAAGCGUAGCGGUGGAGACUAUUUAUAAUAAAAAAAGUCACGGUGUGCUUGUUCCGAUUGGCGUUUUGAUGACCCCGAGAAAAGAACCGGUGUGAAAAGUGGUCGCUGUGAUCGAUGCUACUCACGAAUGAUCCUUCCCCGUCACUAGCAACAUAGCGGCGCGAUCAUGCCGGCCCUGUGAAGAACCGGCGAUCUACGUUUAGCUGAGACGUCAACCCGCAACACGCAUACCGCGUGCUGGACAUAACAGUUAAAAAUAACGUCAAGGUGCGAAACGCACGACCAGGCCGGGAUUCUGGCCUGCACAAACGAAACCUGAAGUCUUCUGGGUCUAUGUAGAAGAUAUUCAAAUGUACUCUGACCAGAGAGCUAUUGUGUCCAAUGCACCGAUGCGAGUUUUGACGUCAGACGGUAGUACAUUCGACAGGUCAGAAGGUUUUGAGAACAAAAGGUUUUCUCGAGUACCUCGCAGGAUCCGUUAUAAAUAGGAGACUUCUUGUCACACGAGUUGUGAUAUAAAGUAGUUUCUCUCUUAUUAAUAUACUAGAUCGUUCUCGUGAAACGGGAGAAGCAAUUGAAACUGUCAGGUUUCAUCCGCGAAAUCACUCUGGAACGUCACUACUCGGCGGAACAGUCCCGUCUUGUCGGAGUACGAGAGUAUCUGUCGGUUUCCUUGAAGAGCAAAGACGUAAAAAGUCUCUUGCCCUUCCCUCCUGUCUCUCUUUCUCUCAUCCGUCUCUCUGCAUAUUCUCGGCAGCUGCAAUUAAAUCUAUCUGUUUUGCUGGGAAUCCUCCUGCAACGUGGUUCCCGCGAGUCCUGCGGGAAAACGAACUUCCCACGGGCGAGCUGAACAUCCUGACUUUGCGAUCGCGUCUCCGAUAGGAUUUCGCGAUGUUCCUUCGCUGCCAACGACCGCUGUCUACGCGCCCGAUGCCGGGAAAUUUCUUCUAACUAGAGCGCAAGCUCUGCUAUACGUGAAACGUCCUUGCUAAAGCAACAAAUCUAUAGCGGUAUUUCAAGUCGAUGCUAGUAAUAAUAGAUGUCAAGUAGCAGACUGUCUGCUUUAUAUGUAUGCACAUCGUAUAAGAUAACAGGAAGAGUCUAUUUUAAACUGAAGGAAAAACUUUUUCAAGACAAACAGAAGACGGUAAUUUAAGAAGCAACGUAGAAGCGUGCAAAUAAACGUAAGAAAGUUCGAGGAAGAGGAUAGAGAAUGCUAGCCGUAAUGAAGUAGAAUCGAACGGAAUAUAUAAUAUAAACUGGCAACUCGCUGUCGUAAUAUUUUAUCGCGAUAGAUACACAGGAGUGGUAUUACGAAAUAAUAAAUGACGGUAUAGAUGAGAAAGGCGAGGGCAAGUUACACAAAAGUCAUUGCCCUAAGAUUGAUCCGAUAUUUGAAUCGUGAUACUCGAAUCGUACGUCAUUCAGUUCACGAGCGGUCUAAUGGUGAUUCGCGCACGUGGCCAUCAACGAUCGCGGCGCGCAGGAUCAAAAUAUGCGCGCGCGCGAUUGCCGAUAAUUAAAUCCGCAAGUGAGACCACUCUCACACAACCACGUUUCGUGCCCCCUCGCUUAUGUAAUCGUCGCGCAUUACGGCCGACAAAUGACAUCACGUCCAGCGUUACGAGCGUGAGGUCAUCAGGUGCUGACUCGACCGAUGCUGGAGAUUUGUUUCUUACAGCCAUCUUGUCACAUAUGUGUUCGAGAUGACGGCGUGUGUACACGCACCAGGUAGAUUAAGUUUCUCGGCAGAGCAAAUGUACUUGGCCUCGGUCUACGCCGAGGUUAAACAUCAGCAAUGCAGAGCGCGAUCAUCAUUCUGCGGUCUAUUCUCGCUGAUGACUUUCCCGCCGUGUUUUCAGAAGCGAACAGCACACAAAAGUCGAGUUUUGCAAGAUAAAAAUGACAUGCAGAUUUUUAAAUUUGAAGUACUUGAAGUGCAGGAAACUUGAGAAUAGAUGGUAGCGCAAUUGCUGGGAUCACCGUUGGCUCCGUUUAGGUCAAGUAUCAAAAUCUUGUUUACUUCCUUAAGCAGUUUUGGCCACAGGCCAGAUAUCAAUAGAACGCGUUAGUCGUUCAAGACUGCAAGAAAAACACAGGCUACUGCAAAGAAGAGGCACGUACUUCAAUGUGGCAGCUAUUAAUCAAAGCUGAGGAUGACGUCCGACUGGCAAGGUGUAAUCGGUAGGAACUUCCGUCACAGACUUUUUUCGGACUAUCCGUGACUUAUUGGAUCGUAAGAAUGGAGUAAGGCAGGAAUUACAAUAAAUCUUCAAAGACAUGCAACAAGAUUCCUACACUAAUAAUAUUUUACUUUUACUGCGAGAAGUACGAAUUGUAUUGCGUAACGCAAACGUCAUGCUUAUAAACGAAACGUCUAUCAUGAGAGAUAUAAAUUUAUACAUGGAUUUUUCUAACAGACAAUACAUGCCUUUUUUAUCCGUAUAUUUUCAUUGGCUGUUUCAUAAUCAUUUAUGUAUAGAAGUAGCGUUUCAGCUUCAAACAUGAAGAACACAUUCCAUUAAUAUUCGUAUUCUCUCUCGCAUCUUCAUAGAUAUAACAGACAAUGUUUUUACGCUAACGAUGUACCGAUAUCACAGAAAUUAAUUUAAUAAAAUUUCAUUCCGUAAAAAUAGAAACAGGGAGGCGUUCGAUCUGUUCCGUUUGCAUGACAAGAUAAAAUGUAUUAUUAUGAGUGCACUCUGGUAAUUGCAUAAUGCCAGUAAUGAUAUCGAGAUGUCCGGUCGGACAGGUAUUCGCUGCAUAUAAUCAUGUAACGCAACGAUCGAAUUUGGGGCACGAGUCAACCGGUCAUCCGAUUGGUACGUCCGCGUCCCAAUUUUCGCCACGAGCAAGGCGAAUGCAGUUCGUGACUCAUCCAUAUCGUCAUCGUGAAAUGCAUACGGCUGUAUUCAUAAUCCCCGAAACACCCAAGUACGACAAACAUCCCGCGGACGCGCUCGCAAAAUGCUCCUCUUUCGAGCGGUAUACGGAAUUAUUUCCUGUUUUACGAGUCUCCAUAACGAUCGAGCUUCAUAGUUGCCUCUAAGAAAGUAGGACAUUUAAAAAUUAUCAUUUUAAGAACGCGACGUGCGUGUAAUCGCCGUCAAUAGGCAUCAACGAGCGCAAAGUAUCAACCUAUUGUCCCCAUAAAUCAAGUCCUGUAGAUAUAAAUCUAUUUUGUCAAUAAUUGUUUAAACGUUUAUGCUCGUCUAGAUUUCCUCCUAAUUAUUCCGAGCGAGAUUUUUUUAUAUUGCGCUUAAUUGCCGUUGCAGGAAUGCAGCUUGCAUCUGCGUCGUUAUUAACAGAUCUUCGAGCUGUUAACGAUGUAUUCGUAGCUGGUGUCAAACGAUUGAACCCUGAGCCAGUUAUAUUGUUAUAUCAGUUUCUAAGACAAUCUCUAAUUGUGUAUCUUGCGCGACGUAAGCAUUACGUUCUGACGCACCGUUCGUCGUUACGGCCAAUUAAGAGUCGCGGAAAUAGCUCUGAGGAAGACACGUGAAGAGAUUUUAAUGCUGUAACAUCGCUAUUAACUAACAGUAGAUUGCUAUUCUUUCGUGUCGCCUACGUUUACCGUUGUAUAUAUAUGUAAUUCUACUAUAAUGAUAUACGUUGUAGUCGCGUAAAAGUAACCUGUGCCUCAUUUUACAGAUAUCUAUUCCAAUCUGAUAGUUUCAAAUAUACUAAACAAAGAUUAUGAGAUUCAAGAAAUCCUCAAUAAAUUUAAUAAUGUCAAUAAAUGAAAUGGUUUUUGUAAUAUUUAUCAAGCUUUAGUAGCAUCAGAGAAAUUCUCUUGUUGCGUUUGUUUCGAUAUUUAUUAAGAUAAUAAGAUUGAUCAAGAUAAUAAGAUGCAUGGCUUUUCAGAAAAAUCGUUCGAGCUAAAUGCCCAAUACGAGAGGUGAAGUCACCGAAAAUUGUAUUGUUUCGUGCGACAGGAUCCCUCCGUUCGCGUGUUCUGCCAUACUUGAUAUCCGUAUAUAUGUCACCCAACGUUAUCCAGUAACGUAAUCUCUUCAUCGCCGCCAACACGUCCUUUUCAUUGGAGCUUAAUUAAAUGUACGCUCGGUAUGCCGGCGGAGGAAACGAGGGCGGGAGGGACCCCGACUUCUCGGACUGAACGGGGGACAAAUGGAGAGCGCGAUUGAAAGGGUCGAGGUCGUCGGUUAUACGGCGUAUGCACAGCAGCGUGAACUGAGUUUCAGGACUCCGCCACAAAUACUUCUAUCGGGACGAGCUAUAUUUUUCGACACGCGCAAUUUUGUCGUCGCGCAAAAUAUUUUUCGUUGCGAUUCGAGCGGAACAUCACGGAUGUCCGAAAUCAUGACAAUGAAUAAAACAAUUUACGCAGCUGCAUGUGCAUGGACACGCGAGAGUUUUUAAAGAUUCAAGACAAAUGACAUCAUCGGGACAUUCUUGGACGAAGGGAAAAUAUCGAGGCUGGAUACUACGGAAGCGAAUUAGAAUAAUGGAGCACUUCCUGAUGUCGAGGGAGAGAUGGAAGGACAAUGAGCAGAGCAAAGUAUAUAUGAACGAGAAAGAGCUGAUCGGGGUAGGGCAGGGCGCAGCAUUAUACAGGUAGCUAAGUAAUAGAUACAUGUAGAUGUGUACAGGUAUAUAUGUGGAACAGGCAAGAUGGAGUCUCGGAGGCACGGGUCGAUAUGAACGCGGCAGCGCUAUUGCAGCAAACCGCCCCCAUUCGUUCGUUCCUCCGCUGACUCCGUUCGCUUCUCUUACCUCCUUUGCUUGUCUCCCUUUGCACACCAUCCAUCCCCCGUCACCCUCCCUAUCACUGCUGGUAUCGCUAUCGGUAUCACUAUCACCGCCGUUCACCAAUCUACCCGUAUAAAUGUCCGAUCCCUUUCCUUUUCUCUUUUCUUCCUUCGGAAAAUACGCUUAUUAAGCUACCGCAUCGGUGAAAGCAGGAGGAUUGGUUACAGUCGACGAACCAUGGAAAAAAAGAGCGUAACACUGCGACCACUGAGUCUGCAAAAGUACCUUCAACCGCACGACACAGAGACAUGUGAAAAAGUUUCGUCCAUGAAUAUUAGAUGCUGCGUAUAUCUUUAAAUCUUGUUAUGAAUAAAUUGUUAUGACUAAAAAGAAAUGGUACUUGUUAUGAAUAAAUAAUACUCGUAAUAAAAAUAAAACUGGGUC